CACGUAGGGGGCGAGCGUUGUCCGGAUUCAUUGGGCGGUAAAGGGCGCGCAGGCGGCCCGGGAAAGUCGGAAUGGUGAAAACUCGGGGCUCAACCCCGAGCCGUGCACCCGGAUACUGCCGGGGCUUGAGGCAGGUAGGGGAGAUCGGAAUUCCUGGUGUAGCGGUGAAAUGCGCAGAUAUCAGGAGGAACACCGGUGGCGAAGGCGGAUCUCUGGGCCUGUCCUGACGCUGGAGGCGCGAAAGCUAGGGGAGCGAACAGG
rnacentral:rRNA from 1 species